GAAAGGGGAAAUUAAAAAUUUAAUUAUAAUAAAAAUAAUUUUAAAAUAAUAUAUUAAUUGGGGUUAUAGUAUUAUUUAUAAAAAAAAUUAUUAAUUUUAUAGUUAAUUAUGUAUUGUAAAAGAAAUUUGAAAAAUUUGAAAAUAAAAUUUAUUAAAAAGUAAUUUUUAUUUAUUGUAUCUUGUGUAUCAGAGUUUAUAAAAAAUAUAUAAUUUAUAAUUAUUUUCUCGAAUUUAAAAGAGUUAAAUAAUUAAUAAAGUUAUUGUUUCAAAAAUAUUUAAAAUAAUUAUUUUGAAAUGAAAUGUUAUUCGUUUUUAAAUAUAUCUAGUUUUUUUAGAAAAAAAUUUAAUUUUAAAUUUAAAUAAAUAAAAAUUAAUUAAUAAAUUUUAUUAUAAUGGGGUUUAAUAAAAUUAUUUAUUUAAAUUAUUAUAUAUUUAUUUUAAAUUUUAUAUUUUAGGGGAUAAGCUUUAAAUUAAAUUUUUAUAUUAAUAAAAUUAAAUAAUAUAUAUAUAUAUAUAUAUAUUAAUAUGAACGUUGAAAUUUAUAUGAUUUAUAUUGUCAAUAAAUUUUAUUUUAUUAUAAAUAAUUUCAUUAUUAAUAAAAUUUAAUUAAAUUUAAUUUUUUAUAAAAAAAUUAUUUUUAAUAAUUUAAAUUUAGUUAUAAUGAUAAAAUUAGUAUAUUUAUUUAAUUUUAAUAAAAAAAUUUUUUAAUAUUAUUUUAUUUCAUAAUGUAAUUAAUUUAAAGGAAUUCGGCAAAUAUUUAUAUUCACUUGUUUAACAAAAACAUGUCUUUUUGUAAUUAAUUUAAAGUCUAAUCUGCCCACUGAUUUAUUAAAAAAUUAAAGGGCUGCAGUAUAUUGACUGUACAAAGGUAGCAUAAUCAUUAGUCUCUUAAUUGGUGUCUUGUAUGAAAGAUUGGAUGAAAUAUAUACUGUCUCUUAAUUAAUUUAUAGAAUUUAAUUUUUUAUUUAAAAAGUUAAAAUUUAUUAAAAAGACGAGAAGACCCUUUAGAGUUUGAUAAUUAAAUUUAUUAUUGUUUAUUUAUUUUUAUUAUAAAUUUUUAUAUUUUUAAUUAUUUUAUUGGGGUGAUAAAAAAAUAAAAUAAACUUUUUUGAUUUUAAUCAUAUAUAAGUGAUUUUUUGAUCCAAUUUUAUUGAUUAAAAGAUUAAAUUACCUUAGGGAUAACAGGGUAAUUUUUUUUUUUAGUUCACAUAAAAAAAAAAGUUUGCGACCUCGAUGUUGGAUUAAGAUAAAAUUUAAAUGUAAAAGUUUAAAAUUUUUGAUCUGUUCGAUCAUUAAAAUCUUACAUGAUCUGAGUUCAAACCGGUGUAAGCCAGGUUGGUUUCUAUCUUUUAAUUAUAAAAAUAUUUUAGUACGAAAGGAUCAAAUAUUUUAAUUAAAUUAUUAAUUUAUUUUAUUUGAAUAUUAUUAAAAUUAUAAAAAAAAAAUUAUUAUUUAAUUAUAAUUGAUUUAUUAUUUUUAUUU
rnacentral:rRNA from 1 species